rnacentral:misc_RNA from 1 species
UGUACCAUUAAGUUUUAAUUAGGGAUGUGGAUUGACAAUAUUUAUAAAGAAUAAAGAUGGUCGCUUGAUCAAUAUUGUGCAGGUCACCAUGGCAACGAAAUCCAGCUUCCUAACACUUUUAUGCUAUUCAAUUAAAAAGUCUUUACUACUAAACUACAGACCUUUAUUAAUGUUGUCAUUUCAGAAUUUUUUAUUUAGUUGUAAAAUAAAUCAUGACAUUAGCAGCAAUUUUUGUGUUGUAUAAAAAUAAAGUGAAACAUGGAUGGUCUUGAUUUACUAGCACGUGAAGAUGAAUUUAAGAAGCUUAACAAGCAAUUGGAAAAGAAAACUGAAACCCUUAUGAAGGAAAUCGAGCAAGUAAUGCAAAAGCAAGACAUAUUCACUGAAUUUACUUCAAAUGUCUACAAUACAAAUUCAAAAAAGCACUACUGUAAUACACAAAAUGCUGCAACACCAUUUCCCAUACACAAGUCAUUCAAAUCAACAAAAAAGAAUGCACAAAUUGCUACCAAAAAAUUGAAUAUGGAACAUAAAACACAAAGAAUACAUCAAGAAUUUCAAAAUGGGACCCAAAAUAUUCAUCAUAUUGACCCAAAAUGCAUUGACUCGUGUACACAACCCACCAAAACCACAAUAGCAUGUAAUUGUUGUAGUGAAAAGGCAAGCAACAAUGAUAUGGAAUAUUUAUAUGCAUUUGUGUCUGUUAACGUUAAGGAUGAAGUGUUUCCAAAGUCAUUUUUAAAAGAUGGAGUCACAGUGGAAAAUGUUUGUAAAUUUUUAUCAUCAAAGGUGAAACUUAUGCAGGAGCAAAUAGACAAAUUAAAAAUUACCAUAGAAAAAAAGACGUCGCAAUGUGAGAGUGCAUCUCACACAGCUAGCCGAGUUGGAGAGUCAGAAACUGGGGCUCUUGAACUCUACUAACAACAUGAAGGCGACCACGGCUGAGAUGAAGGCUAAAUGUCUCGCGUUACAGAAUAGACUUGAUGAGAAAGACAAACUCUUCAAAGAGAAGAGGAGCGAAUCGGACAAGUUAUCUUCGGAAGU